rnacentral:rRNA from 1 species
ACUCCUACGGGAGGCAGCAGUGGGGAAUAUUGCACAAUGGGCGCAAGCCUGAUGCAGCCAUGCCGCGUGUGUGAAGAAGGCCUUCGGGUUGUAAAGCACUUUCAGCAGUGAGGAAGGCGGAGUCGUUAAUAGCGGCCUCGUUUGACGUUAGCUGCAGAAGAAGCACCGGCUAACUCCGUGCCAGCAGCCGCGGUAAUACGGAGGGUGCGAGCGUUAAUCGGAAUUACUGGGCGUAAAGCGCAUGCAGGUGGUUUGUUAAGUCAGAUGUGAAAGCCCGGGGCUCAACCUCGGAAUAGCAUUUGAAACUGGCAGACUAGAGUACUGUAGAGGGGGUAGAAUUUCAGGUGUAGCGGUGAAAUGCGUAGAGAUCUGAA